UGAGAGGUUAAACAUCUUCAAGAAACCUAUAAAGGUCCAGACGCUUUUCUGUCCAAGCUCCUUAGACUACAUUGACCUGGAUGACUGAGAACCUUCACAGACUUCUUCUACAAGUGAUAAAUAUUCCCCUGGUUUAACUCUGAUGUUACUAGAAGCCCAAUCUGUUUUGCUCUCCUUCAGUUUAACUUUUUGGUCUUCUAAUUUGGUCCCUUUCAUUUUCAUUCUACAAAUUCCUUUUUACUUUUGUUAUCUUGAGCCGUUGCUGCGCUAAAUUGAAGUGCUUGUAGUUGAAGUGUAUCUCCACUAGAGGUGCUCUUCUCUCCUCAGAGCUUCAGCUGGGGGUGGAGCAACACCUUCUGGGGGCAGGGCUCUGUGAGACAGACAGCGAGCUCAGCCCAGUCACAGCAGAGCUCUAUGUUACCGCUGCAAUGUGGGGUAAUCACAAUGGGCCAGAGGAAGCCAAUGGGAAUGAGGCGAGUCUGCUGUUAGCCAAUCAGGAGAGAGGAGUGGCAGAGAGCAACAGUUCAGGGGAUUUGUCAUGUGACCACAAAAAGGAAGUGUCCAGUCCGGACUCUGUCUCCCGAUAGCCGCCUUUCAUCUCCUCGUCUCUCAGUAACCAACUUUCCCCCUCAUCUUUCUCACUGGUGUUCAUCACAUCCUAUUAACACUCUGCUUCACUCUUAUGCUACACCUAUAUGCAGUAUGAUUUGAUUUGGUAGCAGCUCUCACGCGCUUUCAUGCGCACACACAAAGCACAUAAAAGAUUUUAGCUGGAUGUACCAACUUUAAAAACUUUGGCUGUAAAAAUAAAGAUUAUAUUCAAGCACGUCUUUGUCCUACUUUCUCAAGACUGUUUUCAAACAUACGUUUAGGGUGAAACAUUUUUGCAUUUGGGGUUGAGUGUGGUUUUAAGCAACAGCACAUUUUUAUCCUUCCCCAACAAAAAAACAAAAAACAAAAUGUCUGAUGUCUUAUUCCUCCUUUAAAUGUGCCACAUGGGAUAGAGCAGAGCAGACUGAGACAACCAUUAAGAGAUUAAAGCAUUUAUAUCCGCAGCGACGUGACUAUCUGGAGAUCAGCAUCUGCACAUCACUGCAUUUACAUGUGGAGUUGUAAAGGAGUGCUUGGUUUAUGCAGCAUGAGUCCUGGUGUUUUUAAAUCCACAGACAGGAUGCACUGUGAGAGGAAGUGGCUUUACUAUCAUAGGUGGUUAAAUGCAUUGUUAUCUGGUGUAUCUUUGAAUCCUGCUUAAAACUACAUCCUGUCAAAAGUGGCAAAAGUUCAGGUUAGGCAGCUUAAAACUGAAAAAUUGAGUUUCCAGGUUUUCCAGAAAACCUGAAAUUUUGACUCAUGGAUGGAAAAAAAAAAGACUUUUUAUGUAAAUAUUUAGCACCUUAUAAUAAUGUCACACUAUUAAGAAUUAUAAGGUAUUAUAAAAACAGGUAUAUCAUUAUGACUAUGGUUAUUACUAGCAGUGAUGCCUUUACACGGUGUAACAGUAACAGAUGGAUAAACAAAUCUGUAUUUAUAAAUGGGAAUACUAAGGAGGACUAUGAUAACUGUAUGGUAGCAAGCGCUACCAAAUACUUUUGUGUGUUCAUUAUUUUUAUUUUUUGUCCUCCAGUUAAUGAGACUUAGGAGAAAAACUUGAAGGUCUUCACCAGUUACUGUGAUCUCACCAGGUUAACUCUUUCCUUGCACUUCUGAUUCAUGGACAUAAUGGCAAAAUUCAUAUUUUCCACUUUUAAAAAUCUAAGAAUUCCUAAGAGGUUGAUGGUGGAACAAAUCACUUCACCACUCACAAAAGCAGCCCUAAUGUGAGGCACACACAUCUUAGAGUUUCACACUUCAUUUGUGUUAUUAAUAAACAGUCCAUCGUUAGGUGGUUGCUAGGCUGUUUGUGAAGUAGUCAAAUAGUUAACGUCAUUACAUAUUGUGCAUAUAAAAGGCUUGUUGAUAUAAAGUGCAUGUUACAGUCAUGCAAUUAAAAUCAUAAUAUGCUUUUACAAGGUGUUAUAGGAGCACGAGCUACAAAUGUGUAAUUUUGGGAAGCAUGAUGAUGUCAUCAUAUGGGGUGGACGAUGUACCUGUGUGCCAGAUCAUGUAGGAGGAGUUUACAUACAGAUUUUUGUAUCAUUGUAAGACUUUUUUUUUUUUUUUUUUUUUAAAUGUAUUGAUUUUUUUGGAGGCACUGACCACAGUGUCUGUCAUGUUUUCAAAACCCGGUUUCUUGGUUACUGUUGCAGAAAAAGUACGUGUCACAGAUGUUUCUGAUUACUACUGAAACCCAACACAUUAUCUACAAACUUGUGCUGACAAUUCAUGUUAUGUGCAUGACACAAAUAACUAUUUCAGAUUCUGCCUUGACAGCAGGGUGUUUCAUUAUAAGCCAUAAUUGCAGUGUCAUUAUCUUUCCUGUUCUCACCUGUAGUUUGGGUUUCGUCAUCUCUCUAUGCUUCUCUUUUCCGCUCUGUCUCCUCACCCUCCAGUCGCAGCUGACAGCUGCCCCUCCUGAUUCUGCCAGAGGUCUCUUCCUGUUCUGGGCAAACAUUUCAACUAACCAUCAGCUGACCAACUUUUCUCAAAGUUUAUCUUGGUUGAUUUACAGUUCAAAAUAAAAGUUGUGCUGAUGUCAGAGAUGUGACCUUACAGCUGGCUCAGUGUCAUUUAAACCACUGCCUUGAUAACACUUGAUAUGUUAUUAUUCUAUUGAUUUGAGAAAAAAUAUUUUAAAAUGAGAGAAGAGUAAAAAUGCUAAGAAAUAAACAUAAAAGUCUGACUGA